rnacentral:rRNA from 1 species
AGAGUUUGAUCCUGGCUCAGGAUGAACGCUGGCGGCGUGCCUAACACAUGCAAGUCGAACGGAGUCGUUUUGGAAAAUCCUUCGGGAUUGGAAUUCUCGACUUAGUGGCGGACGGGUGAGUAACGCGUGAGCAAUCUGCCUUUAAGAGGGGGAUAACAGUCGGAAACGGCUGCUAAUACCGCAUAAAGCAUCAAAUUCGCAUGUUUUUGAUGCCAAAGGAGCAAUCCGCUUUUAGAUGAGCUCGCGUCUGAUUAGCUAGUUGGCGGGGUAACGGCCCACCAAGGCGACGAUCAGUAGCCGGACUGAGAGGUUGAACGGCCACAUUGGGACUGAGACACGGCCCAGACUCCUACGGGAGGCAGCAGUGGGGAAUAUUGCGCAAUGGGGGAAACCCUGACGCAGCAACGCCGCGUGAUUGAAGAAGGCCUUCGGGUUGUAAAGAUCUUUAAUUCGGGACGAAAUUUGACGGUACCGAAAGAAUAAGCUCCGGCUAACUACGUGCCAGCAGCCGCGGU